rnacentral:rRNA from 1 species
AUCAACGCUGGCGGCGUGCCUAAAACAUGCAAGUCGGACGCCCCGGUUUCGGCCGGGGAGUGGCGGACGGCUGAGUAACACGUGGGCGACCUGCCCAUCGGUGGGGGGAUAACCGCCCGAAAGGGUGGCUAAGACCGCAUGCGACCCAUGCUUCGGUGGAUGGGUGAAAGCAGCGAUGCGCCGGUGGAGGGGCCCGCGGCCGAUUAGCUAGCUGGCGGGGUGACGGCCCACCAGGGCGACGAUCGGUAGCCGGUCUGAGAGGAUGGCCGGCCAGACUGGGACUGAGACACGGCCCAGACUCCUGCGGGAGGCAGCAGUUAGGAAUCUUGGGCAAUGGGCGGAAGCCUGACCCAGCAACGCCGCGUGGGCGACGAAGCCCUUCGGGGUGUAAAGCCCUUUUCCCGGGGACGAAUCUGACGGUACCCGGGGAAGAAGCCCCGGCUAACUACGUGCCAGCGGCCGCGGUAAUACGUAGGGGGCGAGCGUUGUCCGGAAUCAUUGGGCGUAAAGCGCGCGCAGGCGGCCGCGAGAGCCCGGCGUGAAAGCCCCCGGCUCAACCGGGGGAGGCCGUCGGGGACCUCGGGGCUGGAGGCCGGCAGGGGCGGGUGGAAUUCCCGGUGUAGUGGUGGAAUGCGUAGAGAUCGGGAGGAACACCGGUGGCGAAGGCGGCCCGCUGGGCCGGACCUGACGCUGAGGCGCGAAAGCGUGGGGAGCGAUCCGGAUUAGAUACCCGGGUAGUCCACGCCGUAAACGAUGGGCACUAGGUGUCGGGGGUAUCGACCCCCCCGGUGCCGCAGCCAACGCACUAAGUGCCCCGCCUGGGGACUACGGCCGCAAGGCUAAAACUCAAAGGAAUUGACGGGGGCCCGCACAAGCAGCGGAGCGUGUGGUUUAAUUCGAUGCAACGCGAAGAACCUUACCCGGGCUUGACAUGCAGGUGGUACCGAGGGGAAACCCGAGGGACCCGCGAGGGAGCUUGCACAGGUGCUGCACGGCUGUCGUCAGCUCGUGCCGUGAGGUGUUGGGUUAAGUCCCGCAACGAGCGCAACCCCCGCGGCCAGUUACGGUGUCUGGCCGGACCAGCCGGGACCAACCCGGAGGAAGGUGGGGACGACGUCAAGUCAGCGUGGCCCUUACGUCCGGGGCGACACACACGCUACAAUGGUCGGGACAAUGGGCAGCGAGGGGGCGACCCGGAGCGAAUCCCAGCAAACCCGGCCCCAGUUCGGAUCGGAGGCUGCAACCCGCCUCCGUGAAGUCGGAGUUGCUAGUAACCGCGGGUCAGCACACCGCGGUGAAUGCGUUCCCGGGCCUUGUACACACCGCCCGUCACGUCAUGAAAGUCGGGGACGCCUGAAGCCGGUGGCCGAACCAGCGCAAGCUGGGCGGAGCCGUCGAGGGCGGGACCGGCGAUUGGGACG